GACGUAGGGCGCGAGCGUUGUCCGGAUUUAUUGGGCGUAAAGAGCUCGUAGGCGGCUUGUCGCGUCGUUCGUGAAAACCCGCGGCUCAACUGUGGGCGGGCAGCUGAUACGGGCAGGCUGGAGUUCGGUAGGGGAGACUGGAAUUCCUGGUGUAGCGGUGAAAUGCGCAGAUAUCAGGAGGAACACCGGUGGCGAAGGCGGGUCUCUGGGCCGAUACUGACGCUGAGGAGCGAAAGCGUGGGGAGCGAACAGG
rnacentral:rRNA from 1 species